rnacentral:rRNA from 1 species
UGGGGAAUAUUGCACAAUGGGGCGAAAGCCUGAUGCAGCGACGCCGCGUGAGUGAAGAAGUAUUUCGGUAUGUAAGGCUCUAUCAGCAGGGAAGAAAAUGACGGUACCUGACUAAGAAGCCCCGGCUAACUACGUGCCAGCAGCCGCGGUAAUACGUAGGGGGCAAGCGUUAUCCGGAUUUACUGGGUGUAAAGGGCGCGUAGGCGGCCUGUUAAGUUUGAAGUGAAAGUCCUUCUUUUAAGGAGGGAAUUGCUUUGAAAACUGGCGGGCUUGAGUGCAGGAGAGGUAAGCGGAAUUCCCGGUGUAGCGGUGAAAUGCGUAGAGAUCGGGAGGAACACCAGUGGCGAAGGCGGCUUACUGGACUGUUACUGACGCUGAGGCGCGAAAGUGUGGGGAGCAAACAGGAUUAGAUACCCUGGUAGU